UAGGGAAUCUUCGGCAAUGGACGAAAGUCUGACCGAGCAACGCCGCGUGAGUGAAGAAGGUUUUCGGAUCGUAAAACUCUGUUGUUAGAGAAGAACAAGGACGUUAGUAACUGAACGUCCCCUGACGGUAUCUAACCAGAAAGCCACGGCUAACUACGUGCCAGCAGCCGCGGUAAUACGUAGGUGGCAAGCGUUGUCCGGAUUUAUUGGGCGUAAAGCGAGCGCAGGCGGUUUCUUAAGUCUGAUGUGAAAGCCCCCGGCUCAACCGGGGAGGGUCAUUGGAAACUGGGAGACUGGAGUGCAGAAGAGGAGAGUGGAAUUCCAUGGGUAGCGGUGAAAUGCGUAGAUAUAUGGAGGAACACCAGUGGCGAAGGCGGCUCUCUGGUCUGUAACUGACGCUGAGGCUCGAAAGCGUGGGGAGCAAACAGG
rnacentral:rRNA from 1 species